UUUCAUUCAUGUGAGAAAAUAGUUAUAUGGAUGUGAACUAAUAGCAAUUAAUUGCUCAUUUAUCCGAUUAAUUACUCGAUUAGUCAAUUUAACAUCCAGAAAUCAAUUAUUAUCGAAAUAAAUGUCGAUUUCCACUAACACAAAUAAUCCCAACACAAUGGAAAUAUUUUUAUCAACAAUUUCAUCUUUAAUAAACACGAACUUAUUCAUCAUUAAUACUAUAACUCACAAUAUUUAACAACCAGAUCAUUCCCAGGAAAGAGGGGGCUUUCCGAUAAGGAUUUCUCCCUAUUGGCGCGCAAUUAGGUGACAAAAUCACUUUUCUCGACAGAACUUUCUAAAAAUUGUCAAUAAUGUAAAUAAUAAUAUGAAUAACUUU
rnacentral:lncRNA from 1 species